GGCUUGUGGCUCAGUGGUAGAGUACUCACCUAGCAUGUGCAAGGUCCUGGGUUCGAUCCUCAGCACCA
rnacentral:tRNA from 1 species